GUGCCAGCGCGCGGUAAUACGGAGGGUGCAAGCGUUGUCCGGAUUUAUUGGGUUUAAAGGGUGCGUAGGCGGCCCAUUAAGUCAGGGGUGAAAUCCCGGGGCUCAACCCCGGAACUGCCUUUGAUACUGGUGGGCUUGGGUUCGGUAGAGGCGGGCGGAACUGGUGGUGUAGCGGUGAAAUGCAUAGAUACCACCAAGAACCCCGAUUGCGAAGGCAGCUCGCUGUGCCGAAACUGACGCUGAGGCACGAAAGCGUGGGGAGCGAACAGGAUUAGAUACCCUAGUAGUCC
rnacentral:rRNA from 1 species